rnacentral:rRNA from 1 species
GCCAAGCGUUUUUCGAAUUUUUGGGGGUAAAGAGCUUCUAGGCGGUUUGUUGCGUUCGCUGUGAAAACCCGGGGCUCAACCCCGGGUUUGCAGUGGGUACGGGCAGACUAGAGUGCAGUAGGGGAGACUGGAAUUCCUGGUGUAGCGGGAAAUGCGCAGAUAUCAGGAGGAACCCCGAUGGCGAAGGCAGGUCUCUGGGCUGUUACUGACGCUGAGGAGCGAAAGCAUGGGGAGCGAACAGGAUUAGAUACCCUGGUAGUCCCAUGC